AUGCAGUGUCCAUUUGGAGCGCAGCAAAGGAGAAAUCGCAGUGUGGAGGCGCUGACUAGGGCCGGCGGCGAAGAUGUCGUGGUCGUCCAGUGCCGGGUCGCUCCCGGAUUUCGUCGAGCUGCAGGAAGGAGGGGGGAGGAGUCGCACUCGCCGGUGCACUACCGCGAGAACCCAAUGGCAUACGCGCCUCCAGUGAUGUGCCACUGCUCAAUUCCGAGGAAGGCGCCAAGAUGGAUCUCCUGGAGCAGGCAGAACCCUGGUAGGAGGUACUAUAGCUGCGUGGAUGCUAUGGUGAGUGUUGUUUUUUUGGCCUAA
rnacentral:rRNA from 1 species